rnacentral:rRNA from 1 species
GGUGGUGCAUGGUUGUCGUCAGCUCGUGUCGUGAGAUGUUGGGUUAAGUCCCGCAACGAGCGCAACCCUUAAGCUUAGUUGCCAUCAUUAAGUUGGGCACUCUAAGUUGACUGCCGGUGACAAACCGGAGGAAGGUGGGGAUGACGUCAAAUCAUCAUGCCCCUUAUGAUUUGGGCUACACACGUGCUACAAUGGACAAUACAAAGGGCAGCUAAACCGCGAGGUCAAGCAAAUCCCAUAAAGUUGUUCUCAGUUCGGAUUGUAGUCUGCAACUCGACUACAUGAAGCUGGAAUCGCUAGUAAUCGUAGAUCAGCAUGCUACGGUGAAUACGUUCCCGGGUCUUGUACAC